ACAUUUUAGUUUGUUUGAUAUGUAAUAGGCAUGUAAUAUCGACAUAAUCACGCGUUUGAUUUCAGUCAAAAUUCACUCCAUUCAGUUCAAUUACCAUUAUAAUAGUUCAACACAGGAAAGCUAAUGAUACAGUCUACGCAUGGUUGGAAGAACAGUUUUGUAACAUAUAUCAGUCACGGUGUGAAAGUUAUUAAAAAAUCUUGA
rnacentral:lncRNA from 1 species